rnacentral:ncRNA from 2 species
AAGGAAGUCGGUGUGAUUCCGACGCGGUCCCGCCACUGUCACCGGGGAGUGAUCCCCCCUCGUGAGUCACGGCCGUGUGUCUGCGGUUGGAAGGCCGGGGGAGAGCGUCGAUCCGGAAGCCAGGAUACUU